UUUUAAAUAGUGUAAAAAACACUUAACAUUUUCGUUGUUAGAAUUCUUUUUUGAUUUAAAUUCCAAAA
rnacentral:tRNA from 1 species